UUCAGGGAAUGCUUGUGAUCGCAGGUGGGACUUUCAGGUCUCUGCUCAAGGAUGCCACUGGGUGGAUAUAAGGUCCAAGGAAAAUACACAGUUAGUGGUAUCCCCCCUGCGUUUAUGGAAUAAAAGCAUUGAAACAACCCACUGCCAUAAGAACUGCUACCAGCCUUCCAAUAGCUAUACACUCCUAAGUUCUUGGCUGCCUUCAAAAUCCGCACACCUUUUAAAGACCUCUACGACAUCUCUCACAAUAUGGGGAUUAUCCAUUGAGGAUUCAGAAAUGAAAAAUUCUACUGUGCUGACAGAGUUUGUGCUUACAGGGCUCACAGGGUCUCCAGAGCUACAGGUGCCCUUAUUCUUGUUUUUUCUGGUGAUCUAUCUUAUCACAAUUGUAGGGAACCUUGGUCUAAUUGCUCUUAUCUGGAAUGACCCUCACUUAUAUAUCCCUAUGUACUUCUUUCUUGGCCAUCUGGCUUUUGUGGAUGCUUGCCUAUCAUCCACAGUGGCACCAAAGAUGUUACUCGACUUCUUACAGAUGAAUAAAAUGAUUUCCUACUCUGAAUGCAUGGCACAAUUCUUUAUCUUUGCAAUCUGUGUUACUACAGAAUGUUUCUUGUUGUCAGCUAUGGCAUAUGAUCGCUAUGUAGCCAUAUGCAAACCUUUACUUUAUCCAAUGAUUAUGACUAAUAGACUAUGUAUUUGUCUCUUAGUCCUGUCUUUCGUAUAUACACGAGGGAUUUCUAUUACUACUAACGUUCUGCAAUUCCAAUAUAGUACAUCAAUUUUUCUGUGACACCGUUCCAUUGCUAAAGAUUUCCUGUACUGACACUACUCUUAAUUUUCAACUGUUAUUUGUUUUUGCUGGAAUAAUUCAAGUCCUCACCGUUUUGAUUGUUCUUGUGUCCUAUACACUAGUCCUGUUUAUGAUUUUGCAAAGGAAGUCUGUCCAAGGCAUGAAGAAGGCUUUCUCUACCUGUGGUGCCCAUCUCUUAUCUGUGUCUCUGUACUAUGGGCCUCUCCUCAUCAUGUACGUGUUCCCCGUGUCCCAAGAAGCAGAUGGUCAAGAUAUCAUAGACUCUCUGUUCUACACGAUCAUAAUUCCUGUGUUAAAUCCAAUUAUCUACAGUCUGAGAAACAAGCAAGUCAUAGAUUCUCUGAAAAAAGUGUUAAAGAAAAAGGUUUAGCCCUCACAAAGGUUUUUUUUUUUUUUUUUUUUUUUGUUUUGGUUUUGGUUUUUGAGACAGGGUUUCUCUGUAGAGCCCUUGCUGUCCUGUAACUCACUUUGUAGACCAGGCUGACCUCGAACUCAGAAAUUUGCCUUCCUCUGCCUCCCAAGUGCUGGGAUUAAAAAGGCAUGUGCCACCAUGCCUGGCCCAAAAGUUUUGGUUUAGUAUUAAAAAUGUCACGUUUCUCUCAGUAAGUUUUUUUAAUGCUUUAAAAAAUGUUCAAAGAAUUUUGAAUUUUAAUUUUCUUGUCUUCCUUUGACAAUGGAUAAAUAAAAUUUUCAAUCAUUUUUAUGACUUAAGAUCAUUUGCCUAAAAUAUAUAUAUAUACCUAAAAUAUUGUUGUCUGUGGUGGCUUGCAUAACAAAUGGCCCCCAAAGCUCAUGUAUUUAAGCAUUUUGGUACCCAGCUGACAAGACUGUAAAUAUCCUGGAAUCUCUAGGACAACAGAUUUGCUGGAAAAAACACAUCACUAGGGAUGAGCUUUGAGAGUUUGUUGUCUGCUCUACUUCCAGUUUGUUCGCUCUGGUUCCUGGUAGGCUGACAAAAUGUGAUCAGCUAGCUUUCUGCUUUAGCUUCUGGUUACCGAGAUAUUAUGGACUCUUGGAACUGUAAGUCAAGGCAAACCAUUACUUCCAUAAGUUGCUUUUAGUCAUGGUGUUUUAUCACAGCAAUACUUCUUAUAACUAAUACAGAAGGUGGAACCAGACAAGGGGUAUCCAUGUAAAGACCCGGACCAUCUGUAUUUCUUAUAAGUCUGUAAGACUUUCAAACUUUUGAAUAUAAAAGUGGUGCAAUGCUGAGAUUAGCAGGUUAUUACAGCAGAAGCCCAGUACUUGGAUUUAACAUACUAAUGAUUAACUUUGAGUCUCCAAUAAUGUGACCAUGCCCAUUACGGAAAGAAUUGCAGGCACUUAUCUUUGGGGUCUUUUAAAAGAGCAAGUCCAGAUUUGAAUUCUUUGUUUCAUGUUCCUGGUGUCUUCUAUCUUCUGUCUCUCUACUAUGUGAAUUUCAAGAAGGUUGUCCUAUGUCUCUGUCUGUGUUUGCCCUUGCAUAUAUCUGUAUGUUGUCUAUAUCUAUGUAUGUCUGCAUCUGUCUGUCCAUUAAAAAAGGACUCUGCUUUCUCCUGUUUUCAACAGCAAGGACAACAUCAUUCAGUGGAAGGGAGGGAUGUGGUAUUUUAUAUAAAUUAAUUCAAUUUUUAAGUAGAAGAAUGGAAAGUGAUAGUUUAUAGAAAUCAUUGAUAGAAUUUUGUAAGUGAUUAACUCAGUGGCUCCACCUGACCCCAACUGAUCCAGAUAACAAGCAGUACUACAAACAUCAUUGUUUAAAUCCAAAUAUCUAUAAAUGGUGAGUUUAACCUUUAUGAUGGAUUUUAGAACUUUGCUUUCAACUUUUCUAUUUACUGCUUUCAACAAAUGACACGUGCAUUAUUUGCAUGAGGGAUAUGUUAGAGUACAUAAUUUAAGAUAUGCCUAUAUAUAGAUAGGAAAUGCAAGGCAGUAAGUGUUGAUAGCUACAUAGUUCUCUUAGAAUAUGGUGUAACAAACAGGAUAAGUACUUAUCAGUCAUAAAUCUUAAGUGAUUUCAAUGCAUAUUAUUAACUUUGGCUAUGAGGUCCACAGACUAGAAGACAGUAGUGCUAAGAGUACUGUUUACUGUGGGGACCUGGCUCAUGACAUUUCAGAAGGGAGUAAACACUGUAUUAGCAACUGGGAUAAUGAGCAUCUGUAUUGUAUUUUAGAAAGAUAUCUUUUCUGCCCAUGUCCAUGAAUUAACAUAAGCUAUGUUAAAAAUUAAUGGGCUAGCUUACUUAGUGGAAGGAAUUGCAAGACAGCAUAAUGUUGAGAGUGUGGAGUAGUUAUUACUGAAUACACUUAUAUGGGGAUAAAAUUUAAGAAAAACAAGUAGGACCAAAAGAAGUACAAAAUGUACAGUUUGGAGAGCAAAAGAACACUAUGAGCCUAAUAUUAUAUACACUAAAAGUGAGCUUGUAAUUGUUUAAAAAUAUUAGUACCAUUAAGGAGAGGCCUCCUACUCUGCACUGGAACAGUAAGAAUGGUACACCGAAAACAAUACCUUACUGAGCUAAACUUUCACAUUUUCAAACAGUUUCUAAGAGUAUUCUUCUAGAAUGAAAUUGCAUACAAAAUCUGCAGCUAGCCGGGCGUGGUGGCACUCGCCUUUAAUCCCAGCACUUGGGAGGCAGAGGCAGGCAGAUUUCUGAGUUCAAGGCCAGCCUGGUCUACAAAGUGAGUUCCUGGACAACCAGAGCUCUACAGAGAAACCCUGUCUGGAAAAACCAAACACAAAAACCAAAAAGGAAAAAAAAAGGAGAAUAAGAAAAGAAAAAAAGCUGCAGCUAAUGUCAUUUGAAGGCGUGAGGAUCUGUCUCAAGUAGGCAGACAAACUUCACACUGUCAUCUACCUUAUACUGGCUUUGGAGACAUGAAAAUUUUAAGAGUGGAAAAAGCAUAGACUCGUUUUACAGGGUGUUAACAACACAUUGAGAACAAGGAGUGUGUGACGUGACUGAGGUUGUUUCAAAAGGACCCUGAGAGUACAAGGAAGCCCUGAGUGACCUUUGCACAAAGCCGUGGAAGCAAAAUGAAUUGCACUAGAAAUUCAAGAUAAUGGAGAUGCCUGAGCCAUGAGAAAUCUGUCAAGGAGAGAUACAUAAAGAGAGAAGAAGCAGCUCAGGAAAAUGCAUUUUAGGAGUCAGCAAAGCUGCAGGAGCAGAAUCAUCUAAGUCUUUUUAAACUAAAUCCCCAGACCAGACCUCAAUCUAAGGAUUUCUACAUGUCUUCCUCCAUUUCUGCCUUGCUUUGGUUCACCAUUUCUCAUGAUACCCUGACUCAUUUAUUUUGGAACGGGAAUGUAUAUUCUGUGAAAUUAUGUAUUAGACUCGUAGUAUUUGUAUUUGUAUUUGUAUUUGUUUUGUUUUGUUUUGUUUUUUCCCAGGGGUCAUAGCUAAGAAAUUUCCUUGAGUCUCAAAAAAGACUUUGGAUUUGCACUUUAGCAUGUCGAGACUGUUAGUUACUAUAGAGACUUUAAAACUGGAAUAAAUGCAUCUUAUAUCUUGAGAUGGUCUACAAGAUUAUGGGAGUAACCCAUAGUGGUUUGGAUGACAAAUGUCCCUCCAGAGGUCAUGCAUUUUUAUGUAAACACUUGGUCCCCAGUUGAUGAUGCUGGUUGUGGAUUUUAUGGAACUUUCAGGAAAGAAAUUUUGAUGAUAGUGAGCUUUGAAGAUUUUAACUUUGUCCCACUUUCUCUUUCUUGAUGUGGUAAUGAAGUGUGGUCAAAUGAAAUUCUUGCUCUAACUAUCAGUUGCCACCCUGUCUCCAUCAUUUUAGAUUCUAACCAUCUGGAAGCAUGAGACAAAAUAAACUCUUUCUUUCAUAAUUUGUUAUUGGUCAUGGAAUUUUACCACAGUAGCAGAAAAUUAACACACAGUUUUAAAUAUUUUAUUCAAGUAUUUGAAUUAUG
rnacentral:lncRNA from 1 species